rnacentral:lncRNA from 1 species
GUGAGAUCUUGGACCUAGGACUAUAGAUUGUCGCAGGUGACUUUCCGUUGAUGGAGGUUUUGGCAGUUUGUGUGGUUACUGGUGGGAGACUGUGGUCUCCGAAGCGAGUGUUUUUGACUCAGGUUUUAGAACAGUGUUUCAUUUUCGCUCGUGGUGAGCAGGUCGACGUUGUUGGCUGGUCAGAGUAUUUCGUUUCAGUCUACGUAAAUAGACUCCAGACUAGUGG